rnacentral:rRNA from 1 species
UACGUAGGGUGCAAGCGUUAAUCGGAAUUACUGGGCGUAAAGCGUGCGCAGGCGGUUUUGUAAGUCUGUCGUGAAAUCCCCGGGCUCAACCUGGGAAUUGCGAUGGAGACUGCAAGGCUAGAAUCUGGCAGAGGGGGGUAGAAUUCCACGUGUAGCAGUGAAAUGCGUAGAUAUCUGGAGGAACACCGGUGGCGAAGGCGACAUCCUGGACCGGUAUUGACGCUGAGGCGCGAAAGCCAGGGGAGCAAACGGG